UCUCAGCUGUAAUACCAGUCCAGGGGAGGGUACUAGGUAGAAAGGGCCCCCUGUCUGUCUCAGCUGUAAUACCAGUCCAGGGGAGGGUACUAGGUAGAAAGGGCCCCCUGUCUGUCUCAGCUGUAAUACCAGUCCAGGGGAGGGUACUAGGUAGAAAGGGCCCCCUGUCUGUCUCAGCUGUAAUACCAGUCCAGGGGAGGGUACUAGGUAGAAAGGGCCCCCUGUCUGUCUCAGCUGUCAUACCAGUACAGGGGAGGGUACUAGGUAGAAAGGGCCCCCUGUCUGUCUCAGCUGUAAUACCAGUCCAGGGGAGGGUACUAGGUAGAAAGGGCCCCCUGUCUGUCUCAGCUGUAAUACCAGUCCAGGGGAGGGUACUAGGUAGUUACAGACAGACAGGUUGUGUAGUCUAGGACAGGUCAGUUAAACUAAGAGAUAGAUGGUUACAGACAGACAGGUUGUGUAGUCUCGGACAGGUCAGUUACAGACAGGUUGUGUAGUCUAGGACAGGUCAGUUCCACUAGGAGAUAGGUGGUGACAGACAGACAGGUUGUGUAGUCUAGGACAGGUCAGUUCCACUAGGAGAUAGAUGGUGACAGACAGGUUGUGUAGUCUAGGACAGGUCAGUUAAACUAAGAGAUAGAUGGUUACAGACAGACAGGUUGUGUAGUCUAGGACAGGUCAGUUCCACUAGGAGAUAGGUGGUGACAGACAGACAGGUUGUGUAGUCUAGGACAGGUCAGUUCCACUAGGAGACAGGUGGUGACAGACAGACAGGUCAGUUACACUAGGAGAUAGAUGGUGACAGACAGGUUGUGUAGUCUAGGACAGGUCAGUUAAACUAAGAGAUAGAUGGUUACAGACAGACAGGUUGUGUAGUCUAGGACAGGUCAGUUCCACUAGGAGAUAGGUGGUGACAGACAGACAGGUUGUGUAGUCUAGGACAGGUCAGUUCCACUAGGAGAUAGGUGGUGACAGACAGACAGGUUGUGUAGUCUAGGACAGGUCAGUUCCACUAGGAGAUAGGUGGUGACAGACAGGACAGGUUGUGUAAAUGGUGGAGGUUAGGGCCCGUUAACCACAGUCCUGGAGUCAGAUGUUAACUCCUGUCUCUAUAAAUGGUUGAGGUAAGGGCCCAGUUAACCACAGUCCUGGAGUCAGAUGUUAACUCA